UGGGGAAUAUUGCACAAUGGGCGCAAGCCUGAUGCAGCCAUGCCGCGUGUAUGAAGAAGGCCUUCGGGUUGUAAAGUACUUUCAGCGGGGAGGAAGGGAGUAAAGUUAAUACCUUUGCUCAUUGACGUUACCCGCAGAAGAAGCACCGGCUAACUCCGUGCCAGCAGCCGCGGUAAUACGGAGGGUGCAAGCGUUAAUCGGAAUUACUGGGCGUAAAGCGCACGCAGGCGGUCUGUCAAGUCGGAUGUGAAAUCCCCGGGCUCAACCUGGGAACUGCAUUCGAAACUGGCAGGCUAGAGUCUUGUAGAGGGGGGUAGAAUUCCAGGUGUAGCGGUGAAAUGCGUAGAGAUCUGGAGGAAUACCGGUAGCGAAGGCGGCCCCCUGGACAAAGACUGACGCUCAGGUGCGAAAGCGUGGGGAGCAAACAGG
rnacentral:rRNA from 1 species